rnacentral:tRNA from 1 species
GGUGUUGUGGCUCAGGGAUAGAGCACUUGCCUAGCACGCAUGAGGCACUGGUUCAAGCCCUGCACCACCU